rnacentral:lncRNA from 1 species
UUAGUUUCAUUUUUUUUAUUCUUAUACUAAUUGGCAACUAGUAAAUACCUACUAAGUUGUAAAUUAGUUUUUGAAUACGUUUCUUUCGUGUCUUCGUUAUUUGUGUGCUUUUCUCGUUUGUAACUCGUAGUAACUUCUUUAUUUCAAGUUCAUAAGUGAAUUUUGUUUUGUGUUUUGAGUCAAUCAAAACAAGAAUCCAUUCCGGUCGCCAAGUAG